GACGAACGCUGGCGGCGCGCUUAACACAUGCAAGUCGAACGUGAAGCCGGGGCUUGCCCCGGUGGAAAGUGGCGAACGGGUGCGUAACACGUGAGCAACCUGCCCCGAAGACUGGGAUAACACCGGGAAACCGGUGCUAAUACCGGAUGCCCUCUUCUGAUCGCAUGGUCGGAUGAGGAAAUGGAUUCCGCUUCGGGAUGGGCUCGCGGCCUAUCAGCUUGUUGGUGAGGUAACGGCCCACCAAGGCGACGACGGGUAGCUGGUCUGAGAGGACGACCAGCCACACUGGGACUGAGACACGGCCCAGACUCCUACGGGAGGCAGCAGUGGGGAAUCUUGCUCAAUGGGCGAAAGCCUGAAGCAGCGACGCCGCGUGCGGGAUGAAGGCCCUCGGGUUGUAAACCGCUUUCAGCAGGGACGAAAUUGACGUACCUGCAGAAGAAGGCCCGGCCAACUACGUGCCA
rnacentral:rRNA from 1 species